rnacentral:rRNA from 1 species
UCCGGAAUUAUUGGGCGUAAAGCGCGCGUAGGCGGUUUUUUAAGUCUGAUGUGAAAGCCCACGGCUCAACCGUGGAGGGUCAUUGGAAACUGGAAAACUUGAGUGCAGAAGAGGAACGUGGAAUUCCAUGUGUAGCGGUGAAAUGCGCAGAGAUAUGGAGGAACACCAGUGGCGAAGGCGACUUUCUGGUCUGUAACUGACGCUGAUGUGCGAAAGCGU